UAUUGGUUCUCUCGCAAUACUACUAUGUGAACUCGGUCAGGUCCGGAAGGAAGCAGCCGCAGCAUGGAACGUAUGUGCCGAGAUGCGCUGGUAGAG
rnacentral:SRP_RNA from 1 species